UACGUAGGGUGCAAGCGUUAAUCGGAAUUACUGGGCGUAAAGCGUGCGCAGGCGGUUGUGCAAGACAGAUGUGAAAUCCCCGGGCUUAACCUGGGAACUGCAUUUGUGACUGCACGGCUGGAGUGUGUCAGAGGGGGGUAGAAUUCCACGUGUAGCAGUGAAAUGCGUAGAUAUGUGGAGGAAUACCGAUGGCGAAGGCAGCCCCCUGGGAUAACACUGACGCUCAUGCACGAAAGCGUGGGGAGCAAACAGG
rnacentral:rRNA from 1 species